AGGCCGUCCUCGGCGCCCACACCCUCGGUUUCAACAGCAACAGCACGGGCAUCGCCGUCCUGGGAAGCUACAGCAGCGUCAAACCGCCCAAGGCGGCCGUCGACGCCGUGGCCAAGC
rnacentral:rRNA from 1 species